rnacentral:rRNA from 1 species
GAUCAUGGCUCAGGAUGAACGCUAGCUACAGGCUUAACACAUGCAAGUCGAGGGGCAGCAUGGUCUUAGCUUGCUAAGGCCGAUGGCGACCGGCGUCACGGGUGAGUAACACGUAUCCAACCUGUCGUCUACUCUUGGACAGCCUUCUGAAAGGAAGAUUAAUACAAGAUGGCAUCAUGAGUCCGCAUGUUCACAUGAUUAAAGGUAUUCCGGUAGACGAUGGGGA